UGAAGCUUUAAGCCUCAUCUUUGCCAUGUCCACUGGGUUUACACCGAAGAUAGCCUUCAUGCUUUCCAGACUGCAGGCGUGGAGGACUCUCUGAAGAAGGUCAUCGUCUUUACGCAAUGAAGUUCCGUGGCCUUCGCCAAGAAAGUCGGCGAUUUUGAGCACUUGCUCCCUGGUGUCCACCUUCAGUUGUU
rnacentral:lncRNA from 1 species